CGCGUUUUAAGCAUGCAAGUCGAGCGGCAAGGGCCUUCGGGCCCCUAGAGCGGCGGACGGGUGAGUAACACGUGGACAAUCUGCCCCCCGGCCCGGGAUAGCCCAGGGAAACCUGGAUUAAUACCGGAUGGAGACGGGACCCGCGAUGGCGGGACCCGGGAAAGGCGCUGCGGCGCCGCCGGGGGAUGAGUCUGCGUCCCAUUAGCUAGACGGCGGGGUAACGGCCCACCGUGGCGACGAUGGGUAGCCGGCCUGAGAGGGUGGACGGCCACAUUGGAACUGAGACACGGUCCAGACUCCUACGGGAGGCAGCAGCUAAGAAUCUUCCGCAAUGGGCGAAAGCCUGACGGAGCCGACGCCGCGUGAACGAAGAAGGCCGUGAGGUUGUAAAGUUCUUUUCGGGAGGGGGAACAACCGUGGCAGGGAAUGGCCGCGGGAUGACGUGAAUCCCGGAAUAAGCCCCGGCUAACUACGUGCCAGCCGCCGC
rnacentral:rRNA from 1 species